rnacentral:tRNA from 1 species
GGCUCGUUGGUCUAGGGUAUGAUUCUCGCUUAGGGUGCGAGAGGUCCAUGGUUCAAAUCCUGGAAGAGCCC